rnacentral:lncRNA from 1 species
CUCCAGAGGCCCCUGGGAAUGCCUGUGUGCAGCCAGAGCCCCAGCCUUGAGGACGCAGAGCUGGCUUCCUCCCUGGCUCCGCCUUCUUCCUCAUCUGGGAUUCUGGGCAAGGCAUUGAAGUUCUGGGGUCUUCUCCUUCUCCCGUCACUGGCCACCUGGGAUCAGGACUUCCUGGUCUAGACCUCCUGCUGUAAUCCCCUCCUCUUGAGUGUGGACUGACUGGAGCGAUUCCACAGAGGACGGCAAAGCGAUGCCGUGUCACUACUGAGAUUUGGAUGUGGUCAGUGGUCCCUGAGAACGCGCAAGGGGAUAGGUGUGACUACUCACAGCCCACUGUGGGGCAUCAGGUACCAGGAAGGAACAGCCCCAGGCUCCUUCCCGCACCACACCCUCACACACCCACACACCCACACCGCCCUCACACACACACACACACACACACACACACACACGCCCCCGCACCGGAGCUCAAUGAAGAGCUCUGAAAAGCUGGCCACCCCUUGUUCUGGGCAGUUGUUUCUUGGUAGAACGAGGGCAUCGUUUCUUAUGACUCAUCUUUAAGUCAUUCUUUUACCAAAUUAACAUUAAUUAUCUAUCUCAAACGUUAAAACUUUGGGGAAUAUAUUUUACUCCACGAUACGCUUCUUAUAAACGCCAGUGUUUCAUAUGCGAUGAGAAUAUUUUUGAAAUUUGCACAUUUUGAAAACGUUACCAGGGCCCAUCCAGGAAAGCGAAAGAUUUGAAAGGGGUCUCCCUGGCCCGACAUUUCCCUCGCUGUUUCCAGCUCUGGUGUCACACCUCCAAGGGGUCCCCAUCCCCAGGAAGUGAAAAGAGGGAAUAGCGGGGCAUCCUCUUUGAGACAGAAUCUUUGAUCUCCGGGGGAUUUUUCUUCUUAAUGAAAACCGCUAUCUCAAUUUCAAACAUCCGGAGUCACUCACCUCAGACCAGACCCAGCCAGGCACAGGAGGCCACCUCUGGAAGGCUGGCACUUCCAUGCAAACUCCGGAGGAGGGAAACGCACGGAGUCCGACAGAAGGAAACUCAGUGGCUACCAGGGACUUGCGGUGGGAGGAAGGGAGACUGACUGCUUCCCAGGGACAGGGGUUCUCUUGGACAAAAAUGGGCGGGUACUAGAUGCGGAUGACGUUGGUGUGACGUUGUGAGUCUGCUUCACGCCACUUCAGCGAACAAUUGAAAAGAACCCAAGAACUAAACUUUAUUGAACUGACGAGAUAAAAUACAGGGAAAGGUUAAGUAAAGAAAAACCAAAAACAAAACUUUAAAACCCACGCCAUGGCUAGGGGAAGGCGAGGAUUCUCUGGGGCUGCAGCUCAGGAGCUGAGGGUAGUGGCUGGGAUGCUGCCAGUGCUUGCUGAAGGUCUUGAGCCGGCUGUGGCUCGCAAGAUGCCUGUGCGGCUCGGAGCUGGGCUGGGCCCGAGAGGGAGAGACGGUGCCGGAUCUUCAGGGUCUUCCGCGUCUUUCGGUGGAGCUGCAGCUGGAGAUGGAAGAAGAG